UACGUAGGUGACCAGCGUUGUCCGGAUUUACUGGGCGUAAAGAGCGCGCAGGCGGUCGUUCAAGUCGAGUGUGAAAGCCCCCGGCUCAACUGGGGAGGGUCACUCGAUACUGAUCGACUGGAAGGCAGGAGAGGGAAGCGGAAUUCCCGGUGUAGUGGUGAAAUGCGUAGAUAUCGUAAGGAAGACCAGUGGCGAAGGCGGGUCUCUGGACAGUUCCUGACGCUGAGGCACGAAGGCCAGGGGAGCAAACGGG
rnacentral:rRNA from 1 species